rnacentral:lncRNA from 1 species
UAAAUUCCAAAAAGAAGCUAUCAUUCAAAAACAAGUUAAACAUACCAAAUGAUCUCUAUACCAAGUCACACAAUUUACUCAACGAAAAUCAAUCCAUAUAUUAGGAAAAAGAUCAAUAUUACAGUAAACCCGCAACUACACGAGUUCAGUAUAUAUUUAAUAAUCAAGCGGUAAUUAUGCAACAAAGCUACACGAUAAGAAAUCAAUUCAUAGUGAAAAUCAAUAGCAUUGCAUAUGAUUAAAAAUAAAUAACGAAUCCUAUUGAAUGAAUACUGUAAGAAAUUAGACCUGAUGUGCCUCUGCCUGAUGAGGACUCUGGCGUGAUGAAUGGACUUGGCCAUUCCAGACUUGAAAACGAGGGUUUGGAGGCGGCGUUCGAGAAAGUUCUCGACGGUGAGGGCCAACACGUAAUCGAGCUUGUUCUGCGUCUCGUCGAGAAGUCCGUAACGGAACAUUCUUCGGAGAAGCGCUUCACCCUCGAAAAUUCGGCGCGGGUUCUUCUCAUCCAGUGUCAACAGAUUCC